UACGAAGGGUGCAAACGUUGCUCGGAAUUAUUGGGCGUAAAGCGCACGUAGGCGGCUUAGCAAGUCGGAAGUGAAAUCCCUCGGCUCAACCAAGGAAGUGCUUUCGAAACUGCUGAGCUUGAGUACUUAAGAGGAUCGCGGAAUUCCCGGUGUAGAGGUGAAAUUCGUAGAUAUCGGGAGGAACACCGGUGGCGAAGGCGGGUCUCUGGGCCGUAACUGACGCUGAGGAGCGAAAGCAUGGGGGAGCGAACAGG
rnacentral:rRNA from 1 species